UACGAAGGGGGCUAGCGUUGUUCGGAAUUACUGGGCGUAAAGCGCGCGCAGGCGGCUAUCCAAGUCAGUGGUGAAAGCCCGGAGCUCAACUCCGGAACUGCCAUUGAAACUGUUUAGCUUGAGGAUGAGAGAGGUGAGUGGAAUUCCCAGUGUAGAGGUGAAAUUCGUAGAUAUUGGGAAGAACACCGGUGGCGAAGGCGACAUCCUGGACCGGUAUUGACGCUGAGGCGCGAAAGCUAGGGGAGCGAACGGG
rnacentral:rRNA from 1 species